GCGCAGGCUACAACAGUGAGGACGAGUAUGAGGCGGCUGCAGCACGCAUCGAGGCUAUGGACCCUGCCACUGUCGACAGGAGCAUUGGUUUGAAAAGGCCCUACGAGACAAGAAGGGCUUCAUCAUCAAGCAGAUGAAGGAGGAUGGCGCCUGUCUCUUCCGGGCUGUAGUAGGCAGCUGACGAGGAUGGAAGGAGCGUCCUGAAGAGAAGGAACGGCAUGUGUGAAGAUCCUCAAGCGAAGCAGAGGGAGUGUGUUUCCUUCUCGCCUUAGUUUGACCAAAUCUCACGACGCCUGGACUAUUCGGGCCACAGGCUGCCCAUCCUGAGUUAAGCUAAACUGACCAGGUGUAUGGAGACCAGGACAUGCAUGAGGUUGUGCGAAAGCAUUGCAUGGACUAUCUGAUGAAGAAUGCCGACUACUUCUCCAACUAUGUCACAGAGGACUUUACCACCUACAUUAACAGGAAGCGGAAAAACAAUUGCCAUGGCAACCACAUUGAGAUGCAGGCCAUGGCAGAGAUGUACAACCGUCCUGUGGAGGUGUACCAGUACAGCACAGGUACUUCUGCAGUGGGUAGGUGAGGGAAAGAUGGUGCCUCAUUCGAGCCUGCCCAACCUGGCCUGCUGUGGAUGCUCCCUCCUUCUCUUUCUCUGCAGAACCCAUCAACACAUUCCAUGGGAUACAUCAAAACGAGGACGAACCCAUUCGUGUUAGCUACCAUCGGAAUAUCCACUAUAAUUCAGUGGUGAAUCCUAACAAGGCCACCAUUGGUGUGGGGCUGGGCCUGCCAUCAUUCAAACCAGGGUUUGCAGAGCAGUCUCUGAUGAAGAAUGCCAUAAAAACAUCGGAGGAGUCAUGGAUUGAACAGCAGAUGCUAGAAGACAAGAAACGGGCCACAGACUGGGAGGCCACAAAUGAAGCC
rnacentral:misc_RNA from 1 species